rnacentral:rRNA from 1 species
AGUGAACGCUGGCGGCAGGCCUAACACAUGCAAGUCGAGCGGAUGAAGGGAGCUUGCUCCUUGAUUCAGCGGCGGACGGGUGAGUAAUGCCUAGGAAUCUGCCUGGUUGUGGGGGAUAACGUCCUGAAACGGGCGCUAAUACCGCAUACGUCCUGAGGGAGAAAGUGUGGGAGCUUCGGACCUCACGCUAUCAGAUGAUCCUAGGUCGGAUUAGCUAGUUGGUGGGGUAAAGGCCUACCAAGGCGACGAUCCGUAACUGGUCUGAGAGGAUGAUCAGCCACACUGGAACUGAGACACGGUCCAGACUCCUACGGGAGGCAGCAGUGGGGAAUAUUGGACAAUGGGCGAAAGCCUGAUCCAGCCAUGCCGCGUGUGUGAAGAAGGUCUUCGGAUUGUAAAGCCCUUUAAGUUGGGAGGAAAGGCAGUAAGUUAAUACCCUGCUGUUUUGACGUUACCAAAAGAAUAAGCACCGGCUAACUUCGUG